rnacentral:rRNA from 1 species
GACGAAGGGGGCUAGCGUUGUUCGGAAUUACUGGGCGUAAAGCGUGUGUAGGUGGUUGUCAUAGUCAGGUGUGAAAGCCUUGAGCUCAACUCAAGAAAUGCACUUGAUACUGGGCAACUAGAGGACCGGAGAGGAUAGUGGAAUUCCCAGUGUAGUGGUGAAAUACGUAGAGAUUGGGAAGAACACCAGUGGCGAAGGCGGCUAUCUGGACGGUUUCUGACACUAAGACACGAAAGCGUGGGGAGCAAACAGG